GAACUGAAGAGUUUGAUCCUGGCUCAGAUUGAACGCUGGCGGCAUGCUUAACACAUGCAAGU
rnacentral:rRNA from 1 species